rnacentral:RNase_P_RNA from 1 species
GAUAUUUCGUGUAAUCGCUAUAUGUUACGACAUAUAGAGGAAAGUCCAUGCUCACACAGUCUGAGAUGACUGUAGUGUUCGUGCUUGAUGAAACAAUAAGUCAAGGCAAUAUUCGAUAUUGACGGCAACGACCUAACCUAAGUCUUUUGAUACGGUUACAUUAGUUUGAAAGUGCCACAGUGACGUAGCUUUAUUAGAAAUAAUGAAGGUGGAACGCGGUAAACCCCUCGAGUGAGCAAUCCAAAUUUGGUAGGAGCACUUGUCUAACGGAAUUCAACGUAUAGACGAGGAAAAGUACAGCAUACUUUUCAGACAGAUGAUUACAACUGAAGUACCAGUGUAACUAGUGCACGUAAUGAGUACAUCAGUACAGAACAUGGCUUAUAGAAAUA